GGAAACCCUGACGCAGCGACGCCGCGUGGAUGAUGAAGGCCCUUGGGUCGUAAAAUCCUGUCAGUUGGGAAGAAAUGCAUAUUGGCUAAUACCCAUUAUGUUUGACGGUACCAGCAAAGGAAGCACCGGCUAACUCCGUGCCAGCAGCCGCGGUAAUACGGAGGGUGCAAGCGUUGUUCGGAAUUACUGGGCGUAAAGCGCACGUAGGUGGUCUAUUAAGUCAGAUGUGAAAGUCCCUGGCUCAACUGGGGAAGUGCAUAUGAAACUGGUAGACUUGAGUACUGGAGGGGGAAGUGGAAUUCCCGGUGUAGAGGUGAAAUUCGUAGAUAUCGGGAGGAAUACCGGUGGCGAAGGCGACUUCCUGCCAGAUACUGACACUGAGGUGCGAAAGCGUGGGUAGCAAACAGGAUUAGAUACCCUGGUAGUCC
rnacentral:rRNA from 1 species